AUUGAACGCUGGCGGCAUGCCUAACACAUGCAAGUCGCACGCGAAAGGGGGCAACCCUGAGUAGAGUGGCGGGCGGGGGAGUAACCCGUAGGAAUCUCACUGGUAGCGGGGGACAACCCGGUGAAAAACGGGCUAAUACCGCCUAAGAACCACGGAUGAAAGCAGGGGACCGCCAGGCCUUGCGGUAUCAGAUGGACCGGCGUCGGAUUAGCUAGUGGGUGGGGUAAGGGCCCACCAAGGCGACGAUCCGUAGCUGGUUUGAGAGAACGACCAGCCACACUGGGACUGAGACACGGCCCAGACUCCUACGGGGGGCAGCAGUGGGGAAUAUUGGACAAUGGGGGCAACCCUGAUCCAGCAAUGCCGCGUGUGUGAAGAAGGCCUUCGGGUUGUAAAGCACUUUCGGUGGGGACAAACAAGGUGGAGCUAACAUCUCCGCCUCUGAUGGUACCCAAAGAAGAAGCACCGGCUAACUCUGUGCCAGCCGCCGCCGUAA
rnacentral:rRNA from 1 species